UCAAGAGAACGUGAAAUCGUUGAAGUGGAAACGGAGAGAAUUAAUAUAGUCUAGUGAAUAAAUGCUACAAAAUCGCAUACGAACGUAUGUGAUCUAGUAACAUGUAUGUCACUAACGACUACGCUGACAAUAUUGAUAGCACAUUCCGUACUGUGAUAAAUGAACAUGUUGCCCAUUAUUAUUAUAAUAGUGGUGUCAUAUGUUUUAACAGUUCGAGUUUGUUGCAAGAUGUGAUAUUAAUAUUUCAAUAGUGCAAAAUUUGAAUUCGUUUCAUUUUUUGCAAUGAUG
rnacentral:rRNA from 1 species